AGGCUUCUUUCCGUCUUUCUUUGGUCCACGUUAUGACAGUGAAACCAGCCUGAAGGACCCAGCCUGGCAAGCCUUAAUUGAAGCCCACAUGUGAAUCAUAUCUUCUGCUGCAUGCUGGCUCCUUCUGCCUGAAUACACAGAAAUCAUCAUAAAUCCCAACUUGCCCUCUGGUUGGUUCACCCUAGAUUAUGAUGGGGAAAUGCAGGUGUUGGUCCUUGGUUGCUUCUGAUUUGCACAGAUGCAUAGCAUAUUUGGGACUCUGAACAGUGCCGACCACCUUGUAGAACCCCUUGUUUCUCUGGAGUACAGCCUGCUGUGUGCAGGAGCCCAUGGAGAGAUGGAGAUCCUUCUCUUCAUCAUCUAGGUCCUUUGAAUAAUUCCAAGACUAUAACAACAAAAUAGCAGAGCCAAAGGACUGUUUUAUGGAAAGACUAUGAUACAUUAAAAAAGAAAUUAUGGUGGAGGAGGCAAAAGUCAACACAAUGCACUAAAUAGUAGCUUGUCCGGAGUAAGGACUGCAGAGGGAGAGAGUAUAUAAGGUUUUGCAUUACACCUCCCUUCUUAGCCUGUUUUCCCAUCUCUCAGGUUCUACAGGGAAAUGGAGAUGGCAGCUAGAGAAGUGGCUGGAGUCCCAAGCCCUUCAGCAGGAGUGACGAUGAGUCCUGCAGGCCCUAUUCCUUGCAUAGUAGUGUAAAUAUUACUGUGAAACAGAAAUGUUCAUUGCCAGAGUUUUCACUUCUAAAUUUUUGUGGUUAUAUAUGAUGAAUUAUCACAUAUGCUCAUAUCUCCCCAAAGCACUUCAUUCAUUCAUUCAACUGACUGGAUGAGGCCCACCCACAAUGUGGAGAGUAAUUUGCUUACCUAAAUUCUACCAAUUUAAGUUUAAUCACAUCUAAACAAUACUUCCGCAGCAAUAUCUACACCGAUACAUCCAAACAACUGGACACCCUAGCCUAGAAAGUUGAUAUAUGAACUUAUCUAUCUACCUACCUACCUGCUUACCUGUCUAGGAGUUCACACUAUCUUUUUUCAUGGGAUUUACUAAGUUACUGAGUAAAAGAAAGCUCUCUACAAGUUUCAGCUGGGGGUUCAGGAGUUAUGAACAAACUCAGAUUUCUAUCAAGCAUUCUUUUCCGUGAAUGCUCCUUGAUCUAAUGUGCUUCUUGUUCUAAAUACCAUUAUAAAUCAUAUUUUAUUUUAGUUUCAUACAUUACAGUGGAUAUGCACCACUGUUCUAGGUUUAAGAUGCACGUUUUUUUUUUCCUUCAGCUUAGCUAAAUAAACAAAGUGCUUCCACAAAUAACUUCCCAUAAACUCAUUCUUAUGUUAUAAUAUCAAAGGAUCCAAGAGAAGGAAUCUACUCUUCCCUUUGUGUAUGAGGGUGUAGGUUUGAUUCUUGGUCAUUCAUUAAAUUACAUAAAACAAAUAUUUUGUGAGUUUGAUAAAAAUAUCAGUUGAGGAAAUAAGAUAUCUUAAUUCUACCCAUUGUUUUUGUAAUAUAAUGUCUAAUAUUUAUUACAAUAAUAACCUGUAUACAAUGUUUUAUGCAUAAACAUUAUUUAGAAUUGUGAAAGGAACAUAAACUAAAUACUUAAUAUAAGCAAAUGGCUAAAUGGAUUAGAAUACGUUUUUGCAGACUUUCAAAAUGUUUUACAAGUUUUUUAAAGACAUGGAAAUUGCUUGUAAAUCUAUGAUUAAAGUUGUAUUCUGUUUGUAAUAUCUCAAUUAUGUAAAAAAUGCAUAGACCUUGAGAAGGAUGUUUAUCUAAAAAUAUAUAGUUAUUACAUAUAAUGACUAUUAUCUCUGUAUGGAAGUAGUAUGGAUGACUUGACUUUGCUUCUCUA